rnacentral:tRNA from 1 species
AGCUCAGUUGGUAGAACGCUCAAUUUUUACUUGUUGAGUCGUGGGUUCAAUCCCCACAU